UACGGAGAGGGCAAGCGUUGUUCGGAUUUACUGGGCUUAAAGGGCGCGUAGGCGGGUUUGUAAGUCAGUUGUGAAAUCCCGGAGCUCAACUCCGGAACUGCUUCUGAUACUGCAAGUCUUGAGAACGAGAGGGGAGAGUGGAACUUCUGGUGGAGCGGUGAAAUGCGUAGAUAUCAGAAGGAACACCGGUGGCGAAAGCGACUCUCUGGCUCGUAUCUGACGCUAAGGCGCGAAAGCUAGGGGAGCAAACGGG
rnacentral:rRNA from 1 species